AGAGUUUGAUCCUGGCUCAGAACGAACGCUGGCGGCAGGCUUAACACAUGCAAGUCGAACGCUGUAGCAAUACAGAGUGGCAGACGGGUGAGUAACACGUGGGAACAUGCCCUUCGGUUCGGAAUAACUCAGGGAAACUUGAGCUAAUACCGGAUACGUCCGCGAGGAGAAAGAUUCAUCGCCGAAGGAUUGGCCCGCGU
rnacentral:rRNA from 1 species